CAGCAGCCGCGGGAAAACGUAGGUGGCAAGCGUUGUCCGGAAUUAUUGGGCGUAAAGGGCUCGCAGGCGGUUUCUUAAGUCUGAUGUGAAAGCCCCCGGCUCAACCGGGGAGGGUCAUUGGAAACUGGGAAACUUGAGUGCAGAGGAGGAGAGUGGAAUUCCACGUGUAGCGGUGAAAUGCGUAGAGAUGUGGAGGAACACCAGUGGCGAAGGCGACUCUCUGGUCUGUAACUGACGCUGGGGAGCGAAAGCGUGGGGAGCGAACAGGAUUAGAUACCCCAGUAGUCCCUGUCUCUUAUAC
rnacentral:rRNA from 1 species